GCCCACCGCGAUCCCCGGAAGGGGCGGUGAAGGAGGGAGACGAGAGAAGUGGCAGUGCCACCCCCCAAGGAACAAGGGAGAACAGCCCCUCUCCCCUGCGCGCACGACAGAGGCUGUCAAACGCCAGAAUAAACCCCAAACCACCGCAGGAGGGGAAAAAAAAAAAAAAAAAAAAAAAAAAGAAAAAAAAAAAAAAAGCCGGGCACCCGGAGGAAGGAGCAACGUGAAUGAAAACGGACUUCAAAAGUGGCCGGCGUCGGAAGAGGGCUGGGGGUGACGGCGCAGAGGCACGGCAAGAGCGGGGCGGCCCCGAGGGGCCGGCGAGGCCGCUGCCGCCGCGCAGCGCCGCACGGUGAAGCUCGAGCGCCCCCUACUGGCCGGCGGCGGGCAGCGGCCGCCACCGCGCGCCCGGCCUCGCCUUUUGUUGCGGCGGAGCCGCCCCCGCCCCCCGGCGCGCGGGAGCCUCCCGUGGGGCCGCCGUGGGGGACGCGCGGGGGCCGCGGGCGGGGGCCGCGAGUCGUUCCGCCGCCAGAGAACCCGGAGCCAGCCGUGCCGUGCCGUGCCGUGCCGUGCCGUGCCGUGCCGUGCCGUGCCGUGCCGUGUUCACGGAAGCCCGCUGAAAGGCGUUGGCGGCGUGUUCGGCCAGCUUGUCGUUUCAGUUUUCAGCGGGACCCUGGAGUUGAGGGCCGUUUCGGCACGGUGGUGCCAGCCCAAAAUGUCAGGGUACGAAGACCCGACCACCCCCUUGCUCUGAAUCCAUGUGGAAUGCACUGUGUAGGAGCACAGCUGUGCUGACAUCCAGGGAGACUUCAGUAUGUGGUGCUCUAUUUUUGCUUUGGAAAUCUCCCCAUGUCCAACAGACUGAAGAAGAUGAUGUCUGAGUACUGUCUGCAGUCUAUUAACAGGGAGAAAACCUAUCAGGGCUCACACUAUUCCACAUACAUGAAGCUGUCAAUUUCCUGUUUCCCAUCCUGUGUUUUAUAUCUGCUGUGAAAGCCUUGUAAUAAUAUUGACUACUUCACUAACUUCAUAACACAACAGGAUUUUUGCUUCUGCAGAUG